CUCCAUGCCUGAAUGAUCCAUGCCUGGAAGCCAGGGAGCAGGGCUCUGGGGCAGACACUUCUGCCUUUAGGGGCCAGAAUAUUUACAACCACAUCCAAAAUAUUAACUGCAACUUACCAGCUUUCUAUUGCUCGAAUCUCCAUCCAUUUCCAUAGAGCUGCCAGAAUUCUUUCACUGCCCUCCUUGAUCACAGGACAAAAAUCUAUAGAGUCUAAGACUGCAUUUUAAGGUCUGUGCAUGUUUUAGCUCUUGCCAUGUUGACAGCUCAUUUCCUCCCCACAAAAGCCCCAGUCCUAUUUGAUUAGCUGACAUAGGAUUAACUGAUGGUCUAAGUCAGGAUACUGGACUUUUUCAUCUUUGCACAGGAAAAUCUCUGGAAUUCCUGCUAUCCUAUCACACACACACACACACACACACACACACGCAUACAGACCCCCUACCCCAGUCUUGGUAUCCAAUCACACACACACACACACACCCCAGUCUGCUAUCCCAUCACACACACACACACCCAGCCCACACAGCUUUCACCCUGGCAAACCCUCCUACUCCUCUAGUCCCCAUUCAAUAGUCACCUCCUCUUGAAAGCCUUCCUGGCUUGCUCAUGGUCCUCCUCUCCACGUAACAUCCCCUGUACAACACUGCAUUAUAACUGUUUCUCCUGUUCUCCUUCUUAGUCCCAGGGACUCCUCCAACACCCUUCUUCCUGACUCUAGGGUUUAGCACAUUGUCUGGCACACAAUAGGAACCCGAUAAACGCAGAAUAAAUACACGAGGCGCUCCAUAAAGCACUAAUUUCUCUGCCCUAGCUUGGCCAAGGAACCACUCUGAGUUUUGUUUUUUUUUUUCCCCCUCUCUGAGCUCUAAGAGACCUAGAAAUAAGAAAUGGCAUGAUGAAUCUGACCCCUGGCUCCGGGGGCAACAGGUCAGGAGGCGUCUGCAGAUCUAGGCAGAGCAGACGUCCGGCCUCUGCGGUCGCCAGUUCCCCGCAAGCUCUUCCCCGGGCCCAGUCGCUGGGUGGAGAUUCUCUUCGAAGCCACUAUCCGAAGCCCCUCUGGCUCCCCGGCCCCUCAGGCGUGCCCCGCACGCACACCUGUCCGUCCCAGGGUCGGCCCGGCGAGCUGGCAGCAGCACUCGAGGAGGAAGCUUGCCGCGCCGGCUCCUCCGCCCACUGUCGGGCCCCUCCGCGCGCCCGCAUCCCGCAGGCACAGAGCCGGAGCGCCUGGGAACGCAGCCUGGCGCCGGGACGCCACCAGCAGCCUCGGCGGGAGGUGGCGGGGACUCCCUGUUACCAGAAACCUCACAAAGUAUUAACUUCGCUGCGGGUUCUGCUUACCUUGCGAGCCGCCAGGAACCCGGAGCCGGGGGUGUGCCUUGGCCGCGACGCCCGCCUGCGGAUCCACUGGGGUCCCGGAGCUCAGCCUCCGCACCCCGUGGCGCGCGAGCGUCUCCCCUCGCCGCGGGGCCCCAUUGGCUCGGGCAGCCAGGCCCCGCCCACGGGAGGCUCCGCACAUUGGAGGCCCCGCCCCUCGCGCCCCUCGCGCCCCUCUUGCCUCCCGGCUACCCGGCUCUCGGCCCCUUCAAGUGGUGAGGUGCUUCUAGACUCAGCUCUCACCAAGCUCAGGCAACCGAGAAAGACACCUGUCUGCAUGGAGUCUGCAGACCUCUGUUUGGAAGGAGGAACCAGAGGAAACUACUGGAGAAAUACCAUGGCUGGGUUUGGUGUUUCAGGAUUAUCUUCCUGGCUUCUGUGUGCAGUGUAUUCAGAAGAUGAAAAACAUUACUGGUUACACAGUGCCAAGGCUAAAGGCUGAGUGCAGCGCUGAAGGAAAGUGGUGCCAGAGGCCAGUCGAGGGGACCCGUGGCCUGGGACAGCGAGAAGUGGACCACGUGAGAGGGAUGGAUGACAGGGUUGGAGAGCUGGAGAAAACAGGGAAAGACUUCAGGUAAGGG
rnacentral:lncRNA from 1 species